GAGAAAAGAACACAAGAGGACAUAGAACCGCUAGUGAGAUCAAGGUAGCCUUUAGACGAACAAUAUAUAGAGACUUGAGAUCCUUCCUUCUCUUGGUCGUUUCUAACGCCUAAUACUAUCGAUCAGGUGUCGGUAGCGCAAGCAAUCGAAGACAAGAAGUAUGGACAUUCUACCCAAAACAGUAUAACUCUUUCACCCACCGAGCACAUCAUCUGGAUCUAAAACGCGCACGCACAAGUUUACUCGCGAGUGUUAGUUCGAAACACCAUAAAAUUUUCAAUGCUCAUGCUAAAUUAUAAAAUCGUAAAUCGUACGUGUGUUGGGGUAGCACAAAAACUGGAUGGGUUAGUUUAAAAUUGAGAUCUAGUUCUUGUCUUAUCUUAUCGUUCGACGAGAUAAGCUGGGAGACAUUUCGGAACAUGAAGAUUUCUUGUGCGUGUGAGUCUCUCUCUCUCUCUCUAACUUGUGGACAAGAGACGACGCAUGCAAUUGGCGCCUGCAUAUCCACUGAUGAUCUCUCUCCGGCAAUAUGUCAUGUAUAAUAUGUGUCAUAGUAGCUUGUCUUCUUUGCUAAUCGGCCGACAUAUAUUAUAUAUAUAAGCACGUACAUGUAU
rnacentral:lncRNA from 7 species